rnacentral:rRNA from 1 species
AAGAAACUAACAAGGAUUCCCCUAGUAACUGCGAGUGAAGAGGGAAGAGCUCAAAUUUUGAAUCUGGCGGUCUUUUGGUCGCCCGAGUUGUAAUCUAGAGAAGUGUUUUCCGCGCUGGACCGUGUAUAAGUUUCCUGGAAUGGAACGUCGUAGAGGGUGAGAAUCCCGUCUUUGACACGGACUACCAGGGCUAUGUGAUGCGCUUUCAACGAGUCGAGUUGUUUGGGAAUGCAGCUCAAAUAGGGUGGUAAAUUCCAUCUAAAGCUAAAUACAGGCGAGAGACCGAUAGCGAACAAGUACCGUGAGGGAAAGAUGAAAAGAACUUUGGAAAGAGAGUUAAACAGUACGUGAAAUUGCUGAAAGGGAAACGCUUGAUGUCAGUCGCGUCGACCGGGGAUCAGCCUUGCUUAACCGCUCGGCGUACUUCCUGGUCGACGGGUCAGCAUCAGUUUUGACCGUCGGAAAAGGACUGGAGGAAUGUGGCACUCUUUCGGGAGUGUGUUAUAGACUCUGCUCGAAUACGAUGGUUGGGACUGAGGAACUCAGCACGACCUUAGGGUUCGGGGCUUCGGCCCACGUUUGCGUGCUUAGGAUGCUGGCAUAAUGGCCUUAAGCGACCCGUCU